CCGAUCCUACGGGGGGCAGCAGUGGGGAAUAUUGGGCAAUGGGCGCAAGCCUGACCCAGCAACGCCGCGUGAAGGAAGUAGGCUUUCGGGUUGUAAACUUCUUUUCUCAGGGACGAAGCAAGUGACGGUACCUGAGAAAUAAGCCACGGCUAACUACGUGCCAGCAGCCGCGGUAAUACGUAGGUGGCAAGCGUUAUCCGGAUUUACUGGGUGUAAAGGGCGUGUAGGCGGGAAAGCAAGUCAGAUGUGAAAACCACGGGCUCAACCUGUGGCCUGCAUUUGAAACUGUUUUUCUUGAGUACUGG
rnacentral:rRNA from 1 species